GAUAGGGUGGGAGGGCUGUGAGCUGAAAACCAAUGAGCUCCAAUGUGUGUUUUCACAAGGUUUCUCUGGCCACACAUAGAGUUCCUUCUAUCUUGGCUCUGGUAUUUCUGCUUUUAUUUCUCCCAGCGGUAGACAGAUGAAUGGCCCCCAAAGAUGUCCACGUCUUAAUCCCUGGGAUCUGUGAAUAUCAUACCUUCCAUGGCAAAAGGGACUCAGCAGAUGGGGUUAAACUGAAGAUUGUCAGAUGGGGAGAUUAUCCUAGAUUAUCUGGGCUGGCCCAGUGUCAUCAUGAGGGUCCUAGUAAAUGAAAAAGAGUGGUGAGAGGGUCAAGCCAGAGAAGUGACAAUGGGACUAGAGGAUGGAAUGAUGAAAGCAAAAGGCAAAGGAUAUGGGAAACCGCUAGAAGCUGGAAAAAACAAAGGACAGAUUCUUUCCUAGAAUUCUAGAAUGUAAUCCUGCCAACACCUUGACUUUAGCUCCAUUUCACACUUCGGACCUCCAGAACUAAGAGAACUCAGCUGUCUUGUUUGAAAGCAUGGAAUUUAUAGACGUUGGUUACAGCAGCCAUAGGAAUGAAUAUACUCCAAUCACAAAGUCGAGAUGCUCCUAUUAAUUCCACCCCCACCUUCAGGACAUCGCCGACACAACUGAUAGCAUUUAUCAAAACUAAGCUAUCAGCUACGUGGUGACCAUGUUGCAGAUGUGAGCAGGUAGCCAGGCCUCCCCAACCUUGUGAGGCAGAUGAGGUCUUCCAUACUGACAACAUCUCUGACAGGAACCCAGCCCUUUUCUGGCAAGAGCAUAGCCUCUCUCUGUGCCUGCUGUUGUCAAAACUCAGCAUGGCUGAAAAAGAAAUAGACUCUAUAUUCCUUGUGUACAUUUGGUACAGGGCACACAGUCCAGCCUCCUUGGAUAUCUGAAGUCAAGCAACACAGAAAGAGGUGUCUGGUUUUCCCUGCAGAAAAGACCUUGAGCAGUGGUGAUGAGGGGCCCCACCCAAUCUCUCUACUCAUUUCAAGAAAGUCAGAAGGGUUGCUUGGGUUAAUUAACAACCAUGAACAAGAAACUAUGCCAAGCAUCUUUAAAAGAAGCUUACCAACCAGUUGGAAAAGCAAAAUGUUGAUGUCCGCAAAAGACAUCACAUCAAAGACAGCAAGAUAUGACAUAGUCAUGAGGCCUGCCAGAGCCUGGAGAACAGACACUUCCUAAAGCUUCUUCUGUUUUGCUGUCCCUCCUACUUAGGCACCUGCCUACGUGCAGAUCAGGCACCCUGAGGGUGCAAAGGGCUUCAGUUUCCCUUUUACAAAAUGAUAUGCACUUGACAAUCAUUAAGUCACUGAACAGACUUUAAUUGCCCUCCCUUGUCUGCACCAGGCCCUGGGUCCAGCGGACCAAGUCCCGCCCUACAGGGACUUCUUGUGCAGUGGAGAAGCAGGAGGAAAGACGGUCAUCAGUUGUGCAGGGAGAUGGUGCUUUGUGAUGGUGUCCAUGAUCACAUGGAGCCCAAAGUGCUCUGAGCAUCUCCAAGACACAGCAAAUCCCAUGUCCUAGCUAUCGCUAUCAUUUUCCUUCUAAUAUACAUUAAUAGAAAUAGAGAGCUAUUAAAGACAAAAUGAUUGGGACUUUCCUGGCAGUCCAGUGGUUAAGACUCCACUCUGUCACUGCUGAGGUCACAGGUUCAAUCCCUGGUCAGGGAACUAAGAUCCCAUAAGCUAAAUGGUGUAACCGAAAAAAAAAGUGAAAAUGAUUAUCUGUAUAGGACCCAGCAUCCAUGUAUGAACCCUGAGGAGGGUGCACAUGCCACAUGUGGGGGCCAUCGAUGGGGCAGAAGAUACCCCUGGGCUCAUCCCCUGUCCGUCUGUAAAUGAAGCUUAUGAUGCCUAUCUCACCAGAGAGCCUGGGAGAAUUCUUCCUAUCCAGGCCCCAGACAUCUGGCAAGAUGACAGUUGUUCCCUGUAUGCCAGGAAUAUUGCUAUUUUGUGGUUUUCUUAUUUGUUUGCUAUUUCCUAGAAAAAAGAGGUCAGGCUACCAUUUCAUCAACCAGUGAGGCCUUUGGGAUUCCCACACUGCCGCCCACCCCCAAAAACCUUGCCCCCACCAAUCCUGGCCAUUGGGAACCCCUUCCCAGAACCCUGACUGGCUGAUGUCACAGACAGAUGACCUCACUGUGGCCAAGGAUCUCUGUGACAUGGGGGAGGGGGAAGGAUGUUUCUCUGUCACCCCAACCCCCCAUGUCUGUGGUGAAGUCAAUCGAAUUAGUGCUGCCCAAAGAUGCAGUCUACCUGGCUGGCUGCAUCAUCGAAGGACAGGUGGUCCUAACCCUGAACAGCACCCUGGUGGACCCCAUCGUGAAGGUGGAGCUUGUGGGAAGAGGUUACGUGGAGUGGAAUGAAGAAACUGGGGCGUCCCGCGAUUAUAGCCGAGAAGUUAUUUGCAACAACAAGGCUGACUACGUGCACAAGACAAAGACAUUCCCAGUGGAGGGUAAGGACCGGUAUGACUGCCAAUGUUAGCCAGAAUAGGAAACCAGGGUCUGGAAGAUAAACACAUCUGUCAAUCAAUCAACAAACCCUCAGGGAUAUGAGACAUGGGCAGAGGCUGGCUCCUGUGGUCACAGGGGAAGAGAAAGGAGGGAGAGGACUAGGAGAGAUCCUCGAGGGAAGCACUGACAAGCCCCCAGCUCUGCCAGAUUCAGAUCUAAAGUCUAGACAGACCUCAGGGAGCCUGGGCUGCUAGGGAACUAUAGGUCCUUUCCAAAAUGAGUGUUUCCGGGUAGUCCACAGUCAAUCAGAACGCUUGGCCAAUGCUUGUUUGAACAAAGUUUCAUUUCAGAUUUUUUUAAAAAAUUUUAGAUAGGGUAGCCAGGGAAGGUGUCACCAAAAGACUAUGGAGCUCAGAUCUAGUGAUGGAAGGGGUCCCUGCCUUGCAGAUACCCAGAUAUUGUUUGUGCAUUAGUUGCUCAGUCUUGUUCAACUCUUUGUGAUCCCAUGGACUUUAGCCCACUAGGCUCUGUCCAUGGGAUUUCCCAGGCAAGAAUACUGGCGUGAGUAGCCAUUCCCUUUUCCAGGGGAUCUUCCUGACCCAGGGAUCGAACCCAGGUCUCCCACAUUACAGGCAGAUUCUUUACCAUCUGAGCCACCAGGGAAACCCAUCCAGAUACUGCUGGACCUUAAUACUCAACAAUCAGGCCCCCUCUCUCUGUCCCAGUUAACCCACCUGGAAGAUGGGAACAGAAAGAAGUCCUGCCUCCUUAGAUUGUCUUGAGGACUUGAUGAUUUAAUGGCAUGUCUCAGGCUCAGAAUAGCAGGGGUUAUAGAGUAAGUGCUGAAUAGGUGUUAGUUCUUUCAACCAAAACAAUUUUUCAGCCCCUCAACCCCACAGCAUCGGGUACCACCCUUCUCCAUUUCCAAGGGAAGCAUCGUUUCCCCUCAGGAGCAUCAACCUCAAUUCAUUUACUCCACAAACAAACAGGUAUUAAGCACCUACUGUGCACAACAACCAUGCCAGGUACCAGGGAUGCAGCAGCAAAGAAAACAGAAGAGGUCCCUGGCAUCCCUGGGGUUGCUGUCAGACUGGGAGGACACACUCAUAAGAGGCUUUGGGGGAAAUGUAAGAAAAAAUAAAACAGGGAGAUCACAGAGAUGAGAGGGCGGUGUGAGUCCCUCCCUGGCCCACCACCAUCAUCACUCAGUCAAUCUGCUGUGUGCUGUGCAGUGAAGGCCAACGGCUGCCAGGGCAGGGAGAUUUGCCUGCUUUGGGCCCCAAGAUGUGUUUGUUGAGUAAAUGUGUGAUCGAACUUGCAGGCCAGACCUCCAGUUUCCCAGGCCCAGAGCAGGGGUGAGCAAGUCCCAGUGGGUAUAUUGGGGUGACCACCACCCACCCAGAGCUUCCAUCUCCAGCCCAACUGAGGUCUAAUAUUUAUGAGCCUUGGUGUUUUGGAUCCCUAAAACUCAGAGCUAGCUCAGGGACAGAGAGGCCAGAUCCAGAAAAAGCUAACUGCCAAAACAAUAAAGAAAGGGGGGGGGGGAUUCUAGAACCUUCUGAUGGCAUUGGUGUGUUUUGCUUUCAGAUAAUUGGUUAAGUGCAGGCAGCCACACCUUUGACUUCCAUUUCAACUUACCUCCCAGGCUCCCUUCCACCUUCACCAGCAAAAUCGGCAACAUCUUUUACUUCGUGCAGGCCUUCUGCAUGGGUCGGGAGCACAUUCUAGCCAAGAAGAGAAUAUACUUGAUGGUUCAAGGCACUUCCUCAAUUUUUCACGCGGAAAAAUCAUUGCAGAUCUUUGCUCAGAAACUACAUCUUCAGUCACCUGCUUCAGUAAUAGCCGGACGAACUGCCACAACCCCCACAGAAGGCAAUUCAGCCAUAUCUAUCCAAACGAAAAGGAACACGCACUUUGCCCCAGCCAUUUCAUUUCUCUUCUGGAAAAUUCUCCUACCACUGUCAUUUCAUUUGUGUGAUAGGACCUCUGCAUGCAUUGCCUGGGAGGCCAGAAACUGGUAACCACUUAAAUGUUUGUUGCAAAGGGAAUUAAAGUAACAGUUCACAGUCAAAGGUCAACUCUAUAGAUAGAGCAAAGAAAGAGAGAGCAAGACACAGCCAGAGACGAAAGAAUGAGGCAGCUCUCGGUAUCAGCACGUCCAUGUUACUGGGUUGGACGCAUAAAGCAAAGCUCAGAACAGCGUGUCUAGCCUGCACCGUUGGUGGUAAAAAUAAGAAAUGCACAGAACUUCCUUGCAGGUGUAACAAACUGUCUCUUUCCAGAGACCAGAGAAACUGGCAACAGACGGCUUACUGGCUGCCUCCUGGGGGGAGGGAAGCAGAGGGGAGAAGCAAAAUUUUUCUCCUUCCACUUUUUUUUUUAACAUCUUGAUUGAGAUACAAUUCUCAUACCUUAUUAUUCUUCCCUUUAAAGUGUCCAAACCCAUGGCUUUCCAUGCAUUCAUAGAAUUGUACAGCCAUCACCACUGUCAGUGUUAGAACACUUUAAUGCCUUCCCUCCCCCACCAUAAAGAAAAAGGAUGAGCGCUGAAGAAUUGAUGCUUUCAAACUGUGGUGCUGGAGAAGACUCGAGAGUCCCUUGGACAGCAAGGAGAUCCAACCAGUCAAUCCUAAAGGAAACCAACCCUGAAUAUUCGUUGGAAAGACUGAUGUUGAAGCUGAAGCUCCAAUACUUGGGCCACCUGAUGCGAAGAGCUGACUCUUUGGAAAAGACCCUGAUGCUAGGAAAGAUAGAAGGCAGAAGGAGAAGGGGUCGAUAGAGGAUGAGAUGGUUGUAUGGCAUCACCGACUCAAUGGACAUGAGUUUGAGCAAGAUCCGGAAGAUAGUGAAAGACAGGGAAGCCUGGCGUGCAGCAGUCUAUGGCGUUGCAAAGAGUCCGACACGACUGAGGGACUGAACAACAACCAAAGAAGUCUUGCAUCCCUUACCUGUUACCCUCAAACCUCCCUUUCCCCUCCCCCACCCACCACUACAUUCACUCUCUGUCUCCUGGGGAUUUGUC